UUGCUCUUGGGGAUUAGUGGCGAACGGGUGAGUAACACGUGAGUAACCUGCCCUUGACUCUGGGAUAACCUCCGGAAACGGAAGCUAAUACCGGAUACGAACUGCGAAGGCAUCUUCAGCAGUUGGAAAGAACUUCGGUCAAGGAUGGACUCGCGGCCUAUCAGGUAGUUGGUGAGGUAACGGCCCACCAAGCCUACGACGGGUAGCCGGCCUGAGAGGGUGACCGGCCACACUGGGACUGAGACACGGCCCAGACUCCUACGGGAGGCAGCAGUGGGGAAUAUUGCACAAUGGGCGCAAGCCUGAUGCAGCAACGCCGCGUGAGGGAUGACGGCCUUCGGGUUGUAAACCUCUUUUAGUAGGGAAGAAGCGAAAGUGACGGUACCUGCAGAAAAAGCACCGGCUAACUACGUGCCAGCAGCCGCGGUAAUACGUAGGGUGCGAGCGUUGUCCGGAAUUAUUGGGCGUAAAGAGCUCGUAGGCGGUCUGUCGCGUCUGCUGUGAAAACCCGAGGCUCAACCUCGGGCCUGCAGUGGGUACGGGCAGACUAGAGUGCGGUAGGGGAGAAUGGAAUUCCUGGUGUAGCGGUGGAAUGCGCAGAUAUCAGGAGGAACACCGAUGGCGAAGGCAGUUCUCUGGGCCGUAACUGACGCUGAGGAGCGAAAGCGUGGGGAGCGAACAGGAUUAGAUACCCUGGUAGUCCACGCCGUAAACGUUGGGCGCUAGAUGUGGGG
rnacentral:rRNA from 1 species